CAUAUAUUUAUAUAAUUUUUGUCAACGGUCUAAUCACGUUGGAUUCCUAGUUCCCGUCAGAUCACUGAAGUUAAACAACAUGGGCACGGUUAGUAAAUAUAGAUGGAUGGUGAUCCGUACGAAGAAAUAAAAGACAAAAAAAAUGAAUGUAUUAUAAGUCUUCCCACAAAUUCGAGAUAUUCACGCUGUAACAGAUGAAAAUGAUUAUUAUAUUAAAAUCUCCGAAUCGGUUGACUAAUUUAAGAAGAAAACAAAAUAAGGAUGUCUUACCACCACCUGCUCUGAGCAUAUCAAGAAACGUGCUUUCGGCAUUGCCACGCGUGCGUCC
rnacentral:lncRNA from 1 species